rnacentral:rRNA from 1 species
AGAGUUUGAUCAUGGCUCAGAUUGAACGCUGGCGGCAUGCCUUACACAUGCAAGUCGAACGGCAGCACGGGAGCUUGCUCCUGGUGGCGAGUGGCGAACGGGUGAGUAAUAUAUCGGAACGUGCCCUAGAGUGGGGGAUAACUAGUCGAAAGAUUAGCUAAUACCGCAUACGAUCUAAGGAUGAAAGUGGGGGAUCGCAAGACCUCAUGCUCGUGGAGCGGCCGAUAUCUGAUUAGCUAGUUGGUGAGGUAAAGGCUCACCAAGGCGACGAUCAGUAGCUGGUCUGAGAGGACGACCAGCCACACUGGAACUGAGACACGGUCCAGACUCCUACGGGAGGCAGCAGUGGGGAAUUUUGGACAAUGGGCGCAAGCCUGAUCCAGCAAUGCCGCGUGAGUGAAGAAGGCCUUCGGGUUGUAAAGCUCUUUUGUCAGGGAAGAAACGGUUCGGGUUAAUACCCGGGGCUAAUGACGGUACCUGAAGAAUAAGCACCGGCUAACUACGUGCCAGCAGCCGCGGUAAUACGUAGGGUGCAAGCGUUAAUCGGAAUUACUGGGCGUAAAGCGUGCGCAGGCGGUUGUACAAGACAGAUGUGAAAUCCCCGGGCUUAACCUGGGAAUUGCAUUUGUGACUGU